rnacentral:rRNA from 1 species
AACGAACGCUGGCGGCAGGCUUAACACAUGCAAGUCGAACGCCCGAGCAAUCGGGAGUGGCAGACGGGUGAGUAACACGUGGGAACAUACCCUUCGGUUCGGAACAACGUUUGGAAACGGACGCUAAUACCGGAUACGCCCUUUGGGGGAAAGGCUUGCCGCCGAAGGAGUGGCCCGCGUUCGAUUAGCUUGAUGGCGGGGUAACGGCCCACCAUGGCGACGAUCGAUAGCUGGUCUGAGAGGAUGGCCAGCCACAUUGGGACUGAGACACGGCCCAAACUCCUACGGGAGGCAGCAGUGGGGAAUAUUGGACAAUGGGCGCAAGCCUGAUCCAGCCAUGCCGCGUGAGUGAUGACGGCCUUAGGGUUGUAAAGCUCUUUCGCCGGCGACGAUAAUGACGGUACCCGGAGAAGAAGCCCCGGCUAACUUCGUGCCAGCAGCCGCGGUAACAC